UUUGAAGGAGAUUUAGAAUAAUAUAAUUUGAAUUUUAAUAACGAAGUCGAAAGCGUAAAGCAGUGAUGAAUCGGCGUCGUUGAGAUUCACGACACUUUUAAGAAAUUAUCGUUGAGCUAGAAAUAACAUCUUACCUAGAUUCAUAGAUUUGAUUUCACAGUUACAGAAUUGGAGUUAAAUUUCGAGAAAAAGAUCCGAUUAAGUCCCGGGAAGGAAUGAAAUACGGAUGGUAAACGACAUUUGUAAAUUUUAAUACCGAGGAUGGGAGUGGCUGUUUAAAAAUUGAGGCCAUGUUUUACGUCCACCGGCACGUGGGAGAACUUCUCCAACAACGAUAAUAUUUCAACGAAAAAAUUCAUCUGGAGAAACAGCGGCAAAAGCAAUUUUUCUGUUUUUAAGGAUGCGAUAAAUAUUUUCGACACGAGAAAUUUAUAAUAUAAUACGAGUAACCACGACAUAUAUUUCGUAAUAACAGAAUGAACAAAAGUUUAUCUCGUAAUUUCAGGAUU